rnacentral:rRNA from 1 species
AGAGUUUGAUCCUGGCUCAAGAUGAACGCUAGCGGCAGGCUUAACACAUGCAAGUCGAGGGGCAGCAUGUCCAGCAAUGGAUGAUGGCGACCGGCGGAAGGGUGCGUAACGCGUGAGCAACAUGCCCUAUACAGGGAGAUACACCAGGGAAACUUGGUCUAAUAUCCCAUAGCAUUCAUUGAAGGCAUCUUUAAUGAAUUAAAGCUUCGGUGGUAUAGGAUUGGCUCGCGUGACAUUAGCCAGAUGGUGAGGUAACGGCUCACCAUAGCAAUGAUGUCUAGGGGUUUUGAGAGGAAGGCCCCCCACACUGGGACUGAGACACGGCCCAGACUCCUACGGGAGGCAGCAGUGAGGAAUAUUGGACAAUGGAUGGAAGUCUGAACCAGCCAUGUCGCGUGCAGGAUGACUGCCCUAUGGGUUGUAAACUGCUUUUAUAUUGGAAGAAUUGCGCUUACGAGUUAAGCGUUUGACGGUACAUUAUGAAUAAGGAUCGGCUAACUCCGUGCCAGCAGCCGCGGUAAUACGGAGGAUCCGAGCGUUAUCCGGAUUUAUUGGGUUUAAAGGGUGCGUAGGCGGAAAUGUAAGUCAGUGGUGAAAUCCUGCAGCUUAACUGUAGAAUAGCCGUUGAAACUGUGUUUCUUGAGUACAUUUGAGGUAGGCGGAAUGUGGUGUGUAGCGGUGAAAUGCAUAGAUAUACCACAGAACACCGAUUGCGAAGGCAGCUUACUAAACUGUCACUGACGCUGAUGCACGAAAGCGUGGGUAUCAAACAGGAUUAGAUACCCUGGUAGUCCACGCCGUAAACGAUGAGUACUAAGUGUCGGAAGAAUCCGGUGCUGCAGUUAACGCAUUAAGUACUCCGCCUGAGUAGUACGUGCGCAAGCAUAAAACUCAAAGGAAUUGGCGGGACCUCGCACAAGCGGUGGAUCAUGUUGUUUAAUUCGACGAUACGCGAAGAACCUUACCAGGCCUUGACAUACCGAGCAAAGCUAUGGAAACAUAGUGGAGGUUAACUGGGAUACAGGUGGUGCAUGGUUGUCGUCAGCUCGUGUCGUGAGAUGUUGGGUUAAGUCCCGCAACGAGCGCAACUCUUAUCGCUAUUUGCCAUCAUUAAGUUGGGGAGGAUAGCGAGACUGCCAGUGACAAACUGGAGGAAGGUGGGAAUGACGUCAAAUCAUCAUGCCCCUUAUGGUCUGGGCUACAAACGUGAUACAAUGGUUGGUACAAAGGGAGGCAAAGUCGUGAGGCCAAGCGAACCCCAUAAAACCAAUCUCAGUUCGGAGUGAAGUCUGCAACUCGACUUCAUGAAGUCGGAAUCGCUAGUAAUCGUAGAUCAGAACGCUACGGUGAAUACGUUCUCGAGGUUUGCACACACCCCCCGUCAAG